GGACCGGGCUCCUACCUUUAGGGCGGGGUCCGCUCGGUCUUGCCGGGAGUCCAGGACAGGAAAAUCACUGCGAAGGGAGGGCCCGGGAAGGGCGGCGGGUAGCUUCAGGACAAGAUAAUGAAUUGGACAUUCAGAGAAGUUAAAUAAUUUACCUGAAGAUCUGCCACUAAUAUGUGUCGCCAAUGGGAUGAUACCAGAUGAAGUGUUAAAACCCUCUUUUCAUACCCAUGACACAGUGUCCUUCUGUUCAACCAAUGAGAAAAAUUAAUGUCUGUUAUUCUGGAGUAUAACAUUUCUGGAAAACAUUUCACCUGGAAAGCCAAAUCACCGUAUUAAGUUGACUGGGGGAAUCCUAUAAAACUCAGAUGAGCCUCUGGCAUAUUGAGCAUACAUUUAUGAAAUGAAAUGGAACUAGUCAUUUCUGGUUCCCAUUGUUCCAGGCCCAGCUCACCCAACUCAGAAAGUUUUCUCCAGGGAUAAAUAAAACAUAGAUUAAUACAAACAUUUUUUUGGAACCCCAUCUGCCCCUCCUCAUAGCAGGUCCAGUGCCUGACUGCACUCUAGGGGUGGUUCCUGUUCUUAAGGUACAGCUCCAGCAGCAACUCCAGUGCAAGUAAGAGCAUCACAGAGAAAACCAAGUCCAACAGUUCCCCAGAAAGAGCAAGCCCAGUGCCUGAGUUCUCCAUCCCUACUCUUUACCUGUAAGUGGUCAUUGCAAGAUAAGACAUGGAUAAGAGAACAGAGGUGGAGAUACCCAGAACCUUGUCAUGGAAUGUGCUCUGCUCCAGCCAGCUUCAUAAGUUGAAUCCUAACUCCAAGUGUGAUGGCAUUGAGAGGUGUGGUCUUUGACCUGUAAUUGGGCCGUGAGGGUGGAGCCACCGUACAUGAAAUCAGUGUUCUUGUGAAAGGGGCCCCAGAAGACUCCCUCAAGCCACCAUGAAAGGCCAUUGGGCAGCUGUCUGCGGCCAGAAAGAAGACACUCAGUAGGGCCUGUUUGUGCUGGCCACCUCAACCCAGACUUCCAGCCUCCAAGGUGGUGAGGAUUAAGUGUCAAUUCUAAGUUACCCAGUUUGUGAUGUGGCACUUUUCAAUGGCGCCCCAAACUGGCUACCCCACCAGCUGUGAACAUCCGAAGUAUAAGUAAACAGAUUGCCAUCUGACAGCUGUUUACCAAGGAUUUAAACAGGAAACUGUUUCUCAGUUUUAUGUUUUGCUGCAUCGUUUUGUUAACAUUUUACUUUUUCUUUUCUUUUUUUGUAGCCAUCAUAUCCUAAGAAGGACAAUCUUUCUAAAUCCUGCGCAUUAACACAAUGAUUACAAACUGUGACAAGCCCAUUAAUUACACAAGUGUUGAUAUCUUGACAUCCAAACAGCUGUCUGCAGUGUGCAAAAACUGGCAAAUACUGAUGGCUUUAAUUUAUACCAUUAUUUUAGUAUUAUUCCAUAAAAUGGGUAACUUCUGUAUCCCUAGGAAGCUAAAAAGAAGCAUAUGCAUUUGUGGUUUUACCUGCAAAAAGAGAUGGGAGUAGGCAGCCUUUCAUUAUCUGCCUCUGUGCUUAUCCUGUGAUAAACCAAUGUCUUUUAAACAGGUUUAAAAAAAAAAUCUCCUGGACUUUGGAUGUUCCAAAUUUUGUAUAACUAAUAAAAGAUUUCUUUAUAUGGAUUGUUGAUGACAAAAAGAUGUUUUAGAAAUCUGCAUUAAAAGGAGAAGCUUUCUCCUCACCUGUAACAGACAAAAUGCUAUACUUUGGGAUAAAGCUGGUCUGAGGUUGGGAGAGAGGCUAUUUCCUGUGUGUGGACCUUAAUCUUAGGAAGCAGACUUCCUAAAGACACCAUCAAUGGGAGCAACAUGGACCAGGAUGGUGAGACAACCCAGGAGGGCUUAACAACAUACGAUGGACAUUGAGGUGCUUUAAAGAGGAAAAGCACUGUAAGCAUGGAGACAUCCUAUAUUCUCCAAUUCAAUAAAAGUUGCUGUUGUGGAUAUUAUUUCAUGAUGUGUUACAUUUGUUUAUGCUGUGGAACAUUUGUUUUAAUGAUGCAAAGAUGUGUGCAUUCUUUUAUGUUGCAUUUGUUUAACUCUGUAAAGCUGUGUUACUGUGCCUGUCUAAAACAGCUGAUUGGUCUAAUAAAGAGCUGAACAGCCAAUAGCAAGGCAGGAGACAGGAUAGGCAGGGCUGGCAGGAAGAGAAAAUAAAUAGAAGAAGAAAUCUGAGAGGAAGAGAAGAGCAAGAGAACAAGGAGAGGAGGACUCUACGGGCCAGCCACACAGGCACACAGCCAGUCACAGGGUAAGAGCGAAAGUAAGAUAUACAGAAGUAAGAAAAGGAAGAAGCUCAGAGGCAAAAGGUAGACAGGAUAAUUUAAGAAAAGCUGGCAAGAAACAAGCCAAUCUAAGGCUGGGCAUUUAUAAUUAAGAAUAAGCCUCCAUGUGUGACUUAUUUGGGAGCUGGGUGGUGGGCCCUCCAAAGAGUUAAAAAAUAACAGGUCAACAUUGUCAGUGGACUAUGCUAAAAACAGAACUGGUAAAACAGAACCUGAUUAAAAAGCAGCUGUGCCCUGAGACUCUGCUGCUGAACUGAGGGUCUAUUGCAUUCUGGGUAAGUGUUCUAUCACUAAGCUUUAUCACUAGCCCCCCUCCCCACCCCAGCCACUCUUUUGAGACCAUCUCUGGACAUAUAGCUCAGGCUGGCCUGGAACUAUAUAUAAAGCCUAGGUUGUUGAAUUCAAGGUCUUCAUGGAUAGCCUUCCAAGUUCUGGAAUUGCAGACAUAUGCCCUCAUACCCGAUUUCUUUCUUUUUGAAAUCAGAAUAAUGGAUUUGGGUGUGUUAUUUUCAUGUAUGUAUAUUAUAUACCUUGAUCACAUUUACUCUUCUUUCCCUACUAUCCUCAUAUAUUCCCUUUCUCUACUUAUAUGUACUUCUUUUCUAAAUUCCUCUUAUGAGGGAAAACAUGAUAUUUUUCUAAGAGACUGGUUUAUUCUGUUUAACAAGAUGAUAUCUAAUUCCAUCUAUUUUCUUAUAAAUGACAUACUUUUUUCUUUCUUGUGGCAGAAUGAUAAUUGUGUAUGCAUUACAUUUUCUUUGCCCACUUAUCACUGAUGGGCAUUUGGAUGAGUCCAUAGCUGGCUACUGUGAAUAGUGCUAUGGUAAACACAGUGUAAUGUUAUCUCUAGUCCAUGAUGCCUUGGUUCCUCUGGUUGGAUAUUAGUAGUAGAGUCAUACACUAGUUCUCAGUCUUCUGAGGAACCACCAUAUUGAUGUUCAUAGAUACUAUACUAAUUUAAAUUCUCACCAACAGCAUAUUGAAUGUCCCAUCCCAUUGUUUCCUCAUUGAUAACCAUUCUGAUUUUCUGGCUGGGGAGAGAUUUGGUUUUGAUUUGCAUUUCACUGAUGGCUAAGAUAUUGCAACGGCAUCCAUCUUCAAACAGUCAAGAACCAUCUUAGGACAAACCAAUUUCUAAGAAAUGCUGGGCAAGAAGUCAGAGAUCUGGAUCUUGACUGAUAUGAAUGAGCUGCUGUUAUGAAAUACUAUGAACUCCUAGAAUCAUAAUAUCACAUAUCAGUAUAUUAAUAUACAACAUAUCCAGAUACAUUUAAUGCUAAGGUCAAUGGUAUUUUUUUUUCUUCUGAUAGCUCCCCAAAUAGUUUGCAUAUACAAGUAGUAUCAUGGAAACAAUCCAAGUUCUUAGCAGAAAAAAAAAAUGGGGUUUUUAUUCUCUCAUUAAAAUACUGGCUUUAGAUUACUGGCCAGAUUUCUAGGUGAGAGAUUCUAGGAGGCUCCCUACCCCCAAAGGAAAAAGAGUCAUCAAUUUUAUCAUUGGAUCAAAGUAUUGAACUAGAAGCCUACAAUUUAUCCAUUAUAAUUGACCCACAUGGUGUCCAGUAAUAGAAUAAGUUGCUUGUAUUUACUAUGUAAAUACCUUACAGAAUUAAUUUCUAUAUAAGCAAUUCUCUAACUCAGAGAAUCUCUGAGAUUCUGUAACCCACAUUUUAAAGCUUUGCACUAAACUCUCAAUAUGUGUUGAUAAACUAAUUUUUUCUGUUGCUAUUGUGAAAUUUAACCAAAGCAGAAGAUGUGACCAUGGUAACCACAGAGCAAUGGUGGCUGCAGCUAAAAUUCCACAGCGCUCUUGCUCUACUUCUGUGGGAGAGAGACCUGUCUUCAUUUUUCCAAGUAUCUUGUUCCAAAUCUUACCUUCCGCAGAAGCCUAUUCUGAGUCCGUCCUGGUGUGUACCAUUGCAUCUUACCCUCAUGUGCCUCAUUUGAAUUGGGUUGUUGGAACUCGGUGGACCUAGUUAGAUUUUAGAGGGGGACAGGUACUCUAAUGAGCAGUGACAUUCAAGAUUCCCUGUGGUGAUAUAUUGUGUACCCUAAUAAACUUGCCUGAGGAUCAGACAGAGCCAGCCACUAGAUUAGACAUAAAGGUCAGGGUCUCUGUGAGUUCAAGGCCACACUGGAUACAGAGCCAAGCAGUGGUGGCACACAUCUUUAAUCCCAGGACUGGAAAGCACACAUGCCUUUAAUCCCAGAGAAAGGUGUAUAAGGCAUGAGGAAGCAGGAACUCACUGUCUUUAAGCUGAGGAUUUGGUAUAGGUAAGAACUAGUGGCUGGCUGCUCUGCUUCUCUGAUCUUUCAGCUUCACCCCAAUAUCUGGUACUGGUUUUAUAUAUUUUAUUUUUUUAUUAAAAGACCAUCUAAGAUUUGAACAACAAUUCCCUUCAAAGAACAUAAAGGAGGAAUGUCUGUCUUAGCACCAGUGAGGAGUUUCAUUCAGAGCCACAUUCUUGCCAAUUUGCAUUGAGAACUAUUGGUUAAGAAUGAUAUAUUUGCAGAUUUUUUGUUUUUGUUCCCUUUCCCCCUUUAAGAACAGGAGUAAAAAAACCUUGAUCUGUUCCCAAGUCCAGAGAAAAAUGUCAAGUCAAAUUUUAAUUACACAGUCAGAGACAGAAAAGAGGUGUUCUUGUCUCACUAACUCAGUGGUUCUCAACCUGUAGGUCAUGACCCCUUCAGUGAGCUGAAUGACCCUUUCACAGGAGUCACUGGAGACCAUUGAAAAACGCAGAUAUUUACAUUACAAUUCAUAACAGUAGCAAAAUUACAGUUACGAAGUAGUAACAGAAUAAUUUUUUGGUUGGAGAUCCUGACAACAUGAGGAACUAUAUUAAGGCAUUAGGGCAUUAGGAAGGUUGAGAACCACGGCUCUAGAUGGAUGAAGGUGGCUUCUAGAAGUCUGCAUCUGUGUCUCAAUGAUGUAUAUAGAACUAUGGUACUAAACUGUAUAAAAGCCAUUUUCUAUGUUUUUGAUGCUUUUUAACUUCCGGUGUUUCCCUGACUUGGGAGGAACUUCUCUCCCAGUAUUACCAAAUUCCUGGGUUUACAGAGCAUGCUUUUCGUGUGCACACUAACCAGUCUACCACACAAGCCCCCACUGAACCCAGACAUUUCAGGCUAAGUGUCCCUAGCCUUAAUAGCCCCAGGGCCAAGUACCAGGCAAUUUAGAAUACUCUCUGUAUACUGCAGAGCCUGUUAGGGAAAUAUUCACAUUAGCCCAUCCUAAACCAGUUUUGUUUUUCUUUCCUUGCCUCAUUGUUUCCUCAGAAAUUGCAUGGUGCUUGCCUCCUGUUUCUCCUGUCCUGAAUGACCUUCACAUUUCCCCAUGUGACCCUUGAUGGAAUGUCUGGUGCAAGAAUAAAAAAUUCUUUCUUACAAAGCAGUCGCUUUAUAUCUGUUUGACUUAACCUGCCCCAUCUGAACAAAUUCUGAGUGGAUUUUAAAAAUAGAAACUCAACUCCUAGAUCUGCUAGGCAAUCCAGGCACAGGAAGUGAAGAGUUCACACAAACAUCCCAGGUAGGGAUGUGCUUUUCAUGCAGGGGAAAGGUUUACCUGGAGCCUGUUGUUUGAGGUAGCAUAGAGAAAUGAAUUUUUUUUAAGAUUUGUUUAUCCAUGUAUUUUAUGUUUAUGAGUGCUCUGUCCUCAAGCAUACCAGAAGGAAUCUGAUUCCAUUACAGAUGAUUGUGAGCCACCAUGUGGGUACUGGGAAUUGAACUCAGGACCUCUGGAAGAGCAGUCAGGUGCUCUUAAUCGCUGAGCCAUCUCUCCAGGCCCAUGAAAUGAAUUCCUAUUUGAGUGGAGGAAGGAAAAGGAGUAAGAGCUAGAUCAUGAGUUAGUCCCAUGGGACCUUGAAGAUAAGGACUGGGAGUCUGGAUUAUUCUAAAGAUGAAUGAAAUGAACUAAAGCAUUUGAAGCAAUGAGUGAGAUUAUCUAACUUCUUUCUAAAGGAUUACUCCAUGGCCCAAGUGGAGAGAAAAUUACAAUGAAGGAAAGUAAGAUUUUCUUCACUGUGACAAAACAACCAAGGGAAUCAACUUAAACAAGGGAAAGGUUGUACUUUGAAGUUUCAGAUGUGCCAGUGCAUGGCCUAUUUUGGUGGCCACAUUGCCUUGGUCCCAUGAUAGCAGAGUAAGUAUAUCAUUUCAGAAGCACAAGGCAGAAGAAACUGCUCGUCUCACUGAAACAAGGAAGCAAAGAGAGAGGAGAGGGGGUGUGAAAUUUAAUAGCCUGUAAACAAGUACUCCCAGUUGACCUUCUGUCUGGUAGCACUUCAUAAGGCCUCCACCAUCUCCAAAGAGCGCCAUGGGAAGGUUUCCAGACUUUCAAUACGUGGACCUUUGGAGGAUGUUCAAGAUCCAAACUGUACCACAAGGGUAGAAAAAAACAAAGACAAAAACAAAAAACAGCUGGAGCUACUGUAGGAGCUGAGGCCAGAGAUGAAUGCACAGAAGCAAGAAAGCAGCCAUACACAUGGAGCCCACCACCUUGCAAAUGAACAGUCUAAGAAAUCACAAGCCAACUUAGACUGAGCUCACCCGAGAUGACCACUCACACACACCGUAGAGACAGUUGAAGUCUUUAUUCCAGCUAGCUGGGACCACAUCCAAAGGUUUGGGGACCUAGGUGUGGCCCUGAGUGUCCAGAACACUGGGUUUUUAAGGGCAGGGACCUCGUCCAGGCCUCUUGCUGGGCAGCUGCAGGGGGCUUCGCAGAGUAAGCAUUUUGAAGCUCGCUGUUUUAACAGAAGCUAAGUUAAGGGGUUAGCUGGCGGGAGGGAAGAUCCCCACAAACAGGCAGCUAAGAUGAAUGGUUAGCUGGAGGAGGUUCUGCACAAACAAGCUAGGACAUCCUGACCUUUAAUUCCUAGAAUAGAGUUGGCUAGUUUUCCAAGGGCUCCAUCAAGGAGAUCAGAUUCUAGUUCAUUAAUUCUGGAAACGGCCUCAGCAAGAAUACAAGAUGGAGGAACCUCUGCCCUGUCUUGUCCUGUCAUAUUAGUGUGACACAAAUUCAAAGCCCUGCAGAAGAAGUCGUUUUUUGAGAAGAGUAAAUCGUCUUUUGUUGACAGAAUGAGAAGUUAUUCCCCAGGGAAGAAGGGCUACUGUAUGACAUUGAGUUGCUUGGUUUCCCAGAUCCUCAGGACCACGGUGUCUCUGACCAUUCCCAGCAUCAUCAGUCAAUGCCCAAGCAGUCCUGGUCUCACUGAUGGUCUCCUUCAAUCCCCAGGUUUUCUAGGUCAUAACAAAAAAAGUGGGCUUUGCCAUGGUGAAGGUCUUAUCCUAAUUAAAUAUCUGGAGUGUAGAUUAUUUACUGGCCUAGAGACUUUGUGUUUGAAGAGGACGUUGUGUUGUCUAGUUUUAUGUCAACUUGACACAAGCUAGAGUCAUCAGAGAGGAAGGAACCUCAACUGAGAAAAUUCCUCUGUAAGAUUGGGCUGUAGGUAAGCCUGUAGGGCAUUUUCCUAAUUAGAGAUUGAUGUGAUAGGGCCUAGCAGUUUGUGGAUAGGGCCACCCCUGGGCUCCUGGUCCUCUGGUCUGUAAGAAAGCAGGUUGAGUGAGCUAUGUGGAGCAAACCAGUAUAAGCAGCAUUCUUCCUGGCCUAUGUAUCUGCUUCUGCCUCCAGGUUCCAACCCUGCUUGAGUUCCUGCCCUCACUGCUUUUCCUGGUGAACUGCUAUGUGGAAUUGUAAGCUCAAAUAAACUGUUUCCUUCCCGAGA